rnacentral:RNase_P_RNA from 1 species
CAGGUACAGCGGAUGAUCGCGGCUGCAGGUGCCGCAAGGCCGUCAGCUGAGGAAAGUCCGGGCUUCACAGGGCAGGAUGCCGGAUAACGUCCGGUGGAGGAAACUCCCAGGAAAGUGCAACAGAAAAGAACCGCCGCAUCUGCGGUAAGGGUGAAAAGGCAGUGUAAGAGACUACCGCUUCACCGGUAACGGUGAAGGCUGUGUAAACCCCAUCCGAAGCAAGACCGAAUACAGAACUAUGGGCCGGCCCGGUCCGUUCUGAGGUGGGUCGCUUGAGACCGCCGGCAACGGCGGUUCCAGACAGAUGAUCAUCGCCGGUCCGAUGACCGGUACAGAACCCGGCUUACAGCUGUACCUGUUUA